ACAUAGUUGAGAGCUCAGGUGCAUGUUAUUAGAGAGAGCAUGAGACUCUUAAUCUCAUCAGAUGUCCAGGAAAUAAGCAACUCUUUGAUUUUUGGAAGACAGCCCUGUAGCAGAAAGUUUUUAAUGUUUGAUGUUUUAUUGUGUUCUUAAUAUUUUGUUGGGAACCACCCAGAGUGGCUGGAGCAACCCAGUCAGAUGGCUGGCGUAUAAAUAAUAAAAUUAGUUAACCAUCAUCUCAAGGUCAUGGGUUCGAGCCCCACACUGGGCA